GGGGUCUAUCUUUCUUUUCAGUUCGUAUAAAUCUUUUGCCUUUUGCUAAAGAUUUCUGUGGUGGGAUUAUCCCAUGUCUCGUAAUCAAAAUGUCUUCUUCAGUGACUCUUGUAUUUUUGA
ensembl:snRNA U5 U5 spliceosomal RNA